CCGCGCAGUGACUAGCUACUGAAUCAUUAAUUGAUUAAUUUCAAUAUAGAUGUGGUAAGGGAAAAUAAUGAUACUACCUUACUUAUAGUGUUGUCUAAAACUGGUGCCAGAAGACUCGGUAAGGCCAGAAACGCAAACGUUAAUCAUCUUAUACAGGCGUAAAGGGUUUGUAGGCAGUUCUGAAAUUUAUUUAAAAAUUAGAACUAGAAUCAAAAAGAAGUUAAAAAGAAUAAUACUUAGAGAAGAUCUUAAAUUCUUAGAACCUAGGUGGAAUACUAAAGGUGUAAACAACUAACUAUAAAUGAUUGACGCUGAGAGACGAAGGUGAGGAAAGGAAAUAGGAUUAGAUACCCCGGUACCCCUCUCUGUAAACGAUGAAUGGUAAUCAUUAGUAUAUUUAAAUAUUAGUGGUAAAGUUAACACGUUAACCAUUCCGCCUUGGGAGUACGAUCGCAAGGUUGAAAACAAAAAAAUUAGUCGAUCUCGGGGCAAACGGAAUGAAGCAUGUUAUUUAAUUAUUAAAUCCCGCA
rnacentral:rRNA from 1 species